rnacentral:rRNA from 1 species
AGCUCCACGAGCAUGUACGUAAGUUGUUGCAGUUAAAAAGCUCGUAGUUGGAUCUCAGGCCUGUGGCCAGUGGUCCGCCCAGUACGGGUGUGUACUGCUGUGCCCGGUCUACGUCUGGUCUACUUCCGUAGUGCUCUUAACCGGGUGUUGCGGAAUGCCAGAAGGUUUACUCUGAAAAAAUUAGAGUGCUCAAAGCAAGCUCAAAAGCUUGAAUACUGUUGCAUGGAAUAAUGGAAUAGGACCUCGGAUCUAUUUUGUUGGUUUUCGGAGUCGAGGUAAUGAUUAAGAGGGACAGACGGGGGCAUUCGUAUUGCGCCGUUAGAGGUGAAAUUCUUGGAUCGGCGCAAGACGAACAACUGCGAAAGCAUUUGCCAAGGAUGUUUUCAUUAAUCAAGAACGA